AUGGCCAACAGUCCCCCUAAAGUGAGCGUACUGCCGCCGUCCAGUGAAGAGAUUUCCACAAAGCAAACAGCAACACUGAUGUGUGUGGCCAACAAGGGCUUCCCCUCAGACUGGAGUCUGAACUGGAAGGUGGACGGGAUCAGCAGCAGGUCUCAGUACAGCAGUGUUGCUCUCCUGGAGAAGGACGGUCUGUACAGCUGGAGCAGCAGUCUGACUCUCUCUGAGCAGGAGUGGAGCUCAGUGAUCUCAGUCAGCUGUGAGCUCACACAGAAAGACCAGCGUGAUAAAGUCACUGGAGAAUUGAGGAGAGAUCAGUGUUCACAGUAG